rnacentral:rRNA from 1 species
GCACCCGAUCUCGUCUGAUCUCAGAAGCU